GGGGGAUUUCCCGAGCGGUCAAAGGGGGCAGACUGUAAAUCUGUUGUCGUAGACUUCGGAGGUUCGAAUCCUCCAUCCCCCA
rnacentral:tRNA from 1 species